rnacentral:rRNA from 1 species
UAGAAGUUGACGGGCCCGCACAAGCAGCGGAGCGUGUUGGUUUAAUUCGAUGUUACACGAAGAACCUUACCAGGGUUUGACAUGCAAGUGGUAGGAAGCCGAAAGGUGACCGACCCUUCGGGGAGCUUGCACAGGUUGCUGCAUGGCUGUCGUCAGCUCGUGUCGUGAGAUGUUCGGUUAAGUCCGCUAACGAGCGCAACCCUCGCUGUGUGUUAUAUGUGUCACACGGGACUGCCGGUCUUAAGCCGGAGGAAGGUGGGGAUGAUGUCAAGUCAGCAUGGCCUUUAUAUCCUGGGCUACACACACGCUACAGUGGCCAACACAAUAGGUUGCUGAGCCGCGAGGUGGCGCCAAUCCAUAAAGUUGGUCUCAGUUCAGAUUGUAGGCUGCAACCCGCCUGCAUGAAGAUGGAGUUGCUAGUAACCGCAGGUCAGCUAUACUGCGGUGAAUACGUUCCCGGGGCUU